AACAUCAAAGCCCGCACUGAUUCGUUCGUCCAAAUUCAAAAUGUACCACUUCAAUUAACUACGACGGUAAAAUCGAACGCUCAUUGGUCCUCGCCUGCUUCGUCACAGAUUGCGACAGCAGUGUUCCUGCCUAUGUGUUUGAAUGAUGCACGCUUUCACAAAGUGAAUCAGGAGCAUAGUCUGAGUAAUAUUUUUAGCGAUUAAAAACUUAAAUUGUGCUCUGUACCUCACACCAAACUAUUGUAUUUCACCUGCGGUGGCAACGCAGCAUCAUUUGGACUACUUUUGACCUGGCCAUGUACCCUGCCCUCUUCAUACAGGUUGUCAUGAUGUCAUUACAGAAGGCAGCCGAAGAACAACUUGGGACACCUCCUGAAAAGACAGUGACUCACACGCACACACACACACACACACACACACUAAAUAUAUAAUUAAUAUAAAUCAAUAUGUUCUUGUUACUGUUUCCCAUUAU